rnacentral:lncRNA from 1 species
CAACCUAAGCAAUUCCACAAGUGGUUUUGUAGCUCGACAAAAAUCCUCAAGUGCCUCCCAAAAUAAAGAGUUGAUCAUCAAUCUUUGGACAGCAGUGUUGUUACCUUUGUUCUUGUACUUCUCCCAAUUGAAGUGUUUCAAAACAUCCUUUUGUUCUUUCAAACUUUCCAAUGUUAGGUAUGCAGAUGCAAAUCUAGUAACGCCACAACGAAUAAGUUCUUUGUUCUUUGAAGCCACUAGGAAAUCACUAUGAAGGUUCGUGUGGUUGUAGAUGUGGGUAGUGAUUUUCCUUGCAUUUUUGACAACUUUGGCAUAUUUUGGGAUUUUACCGACAUCCUCAAUUGUCAAAUCCAACACAUGUGCUACGCAAGGAGUCCAAUACAAAUGUUUG